rnacentral:misc_RNA from 1 species
UCCGGUUUGAAACCGGCGGUCCCGGUAGACAUAGUAACUACCAGCGAGGGUUGCGCUCGUUGCGGGACUUAACCCAACACCUCACGGCACGAGCUGACGACAGCCAUGCAGCACCUGUGCACCCUCUCGAUUCGACGAGUCGUCCCCCUUUCAGGGUUCUACUUGGUGCAUGUCAAGCCUAGGUGAGGUUCUUCGCGUUGCAUCGAAUUAAACCACACGCUCCGCUGCUUGUGCGGGCCCCCGUCAAUUCCUUUGAGUUUCAGCCUUGCGGCCGUACUCCCCAGGUGGAUUACUUAACGCUUUCGCUUGGACGCUGGACGGUGGGGAUGACGUGUACACCUGAAC